CAGCAGUGGGGGGGAAAAGCAAUAGUAAUUCCCACUAAUAUAGGUUUUUUUUAAAGCUUUAAAGCUUUUAGACAUCAGUUCAGUUCUUGAAUCCCAGCAUUUAGUAAGAAGAUUGAAUUUCCCUCCUUGAUUUAUAGUCAGAACACUUACAGCAACGGCUUGAGUUCUGUGAAGUCCUUCCAACAAAAGCAGGUGCGAUUCCAGCAAGUUAUCCUUAAUCACGCUGAGAGCAGACGUUGCUGAAAGAAUACAGAAGGUACUGGAGAGUCCAGGACCCUUCUUUGACCUCAAGUCAGAUGGUUCCUCCAGUCCCAGUUCCCCAGAAUUCCCUAACAGGAAGUGCAACAGAAUCCCCUCCAGCCAGACAUCCGAAUAUUGUGUGAUGCAGCCCCUGUCCCACUCCUCAUCCAAUGUGAGGAGCUGUUGCAGAAGAGUGAGUGAAAAUGGAACGUCUGAGGAGGAGGAGAUUGAGGCGGUCCCCAGAAGCAGGACACGCUGGCUCAGAGUGCGUGGUUGGACGAUAAUGUCUGUACACCCAGCAGUACCAGCUCACCAGUUACUCGUCUGCUCCCUUGCGGCAGCGGUGCAGGCUCCAUGGAGAAGGGGAAAGGUGGCAAAGUGGAUGCUCAGCAUUACAGCCCAGCCUCCAUUUUGUGCUGUGUGUGAUAUCAUCGCUGGAGGGGUGUCUCAGUGCAUGCUGGGUAACGCACAGUUCAAGAGAAAUCUAUUCACAACAUUGAGAUUAUUGUUAUUCCUUCUUAUCCACCCUUCUACAUAAGAGGUUGAAGAAAAUGUCAGUUAAGAAAUGUUGUUAGUUUGUACAUUCCAUUACAAUUAAAAGCAACAUACCUAUCCGAGAGAGAGAGAGAGAGAGAGAG